AUUGAACGCUGGCGGCAGGCCUAACACAUGCAAGUCGAGCGGAGCGGGGGACGGGGGAGGAAUGCCAAGGAAUGUGCAUGGGAGUGGGGGAUAAGGUCAGGAAACGGGCGCUGAUACCGCAUACUAUCAGCAGAGCCUAGGCCGGGUUAGCUAGUUGGUGGGGUAAAGGCCUACCAAGGCGACGAUCUGUAACUGGGCUGAGAGGAUGAUCAGGCACACUUGAACUGAGACACGGUGCAGACUCCUACGGGAGGCAGCAGUGGGGAAUAUUUGACAAUGGGCGAAAGCCUGAUCCAUCCAUGCCGCGUGUGUGAAGAAGGUCUUCGGAUUGUAAAGCACUUUAAGUUGGGAGGCGUUACCAACAGAAUAAGCACCGGCUAACUUCGUGCCAGCAGCCCCGGUAAUUCC
rnacentral:rRNA from 1 species